AACGAACGCUGGCGGCAGGCCUAACACAUGCAAGUCGAACGCACCGCAAGGUGAGUGGCGCACGGGUGAGUAACACGUGGGAAUGUACCCUUUGGUUCGGAAUAACGUUUGGAAACGAACGCUAAUACCGGAUGAGCCCUGUGGGGGAAAGAUUUAUCGCCAAAGGAGCAGCCCGCGUCUGAUUAGCUAGUUGGUGGGGUAAAGGCCUACCAAGGCGACGAUCAGUAGCUGGUCUGAGAGGAUGAUCAGCCACACUGGGACUGAGACACGGCCCAGACUCCUACGGGAGGCAGCAGUGGGGAAUAUUGGACAAUGGGCGGAAGCCUGAUCCAGCCAUGCCGCGUGAGUGAUGAAGGCCUCGGGUUGUUAAAGACGUCUUUCGUCACGCGACGAUGAUGACGGUAGCGUGAGAGAAGCCCCGGC
rnacentral:rRNA from 1 species